rnacentral:lncRNA from 1 species
UAUAUUUAAAAGGAAAGCCAACAUCAGUCAAUACCAUUUGAAAAAUCUACUAAAUCAAAAGUAAAUAUCUCUGGACUUCUCCUCAUAAUAGAAGUAGAUUACCGGGGCGUGUCUGCUUGUUUCAAUUCCGUCACUUUACGUCACUUGAAAACUGAAUACUUAUUUAGUAACCUAGAUCACUUAUAUUGUGGUAGCAACUUUUUUCGGUUUACCCGUAGAGGUUGCCAAGACCAUUUGACCUGAUUUGACUGCAACCAGGAUGGGAUUUAUCACCACAGCAGCCAACUAGUUUUUUUUGCCGUGCCAAGAGGACUUUCCUAUGGACUUUCACUUUUAACAAGCGGCUGUUGUAAAAUCUAAGUUUUUAUUUACUUUUCCAUUACAUAUCUUGGUUGAUAUAUAUUUGCUUACAGUGUAAACUUAUUCAUAUGCAUAUGAUCAAGUAAACUACAUUUUUUUUCUUGAUAGAUAGGGUUUUUAGGUCGUUGUAUUUUUGUUCAAUAUAAAUAAUAGUUUUUUCAAAUAAAUAAAAUCAGGUCUUGGUAAAUAAUCAUUAUAAAUAAUUGCAUAUUAAAAUUUGAUAGGGAAUAGCGUUGUUAAAAUUUAUGUAGAGGGUUUUAAAGUAGGGAAUAUGUCUAUUAUGGUUUUUAAAUAGAAUAUAAAGAGUCACUGACCAACUCAUUUAUAUAAUUAUUAUUUUGCUAAUUGAGAUACUUAUUUUUUUGACAACCGUAGAUCUUCUUUUCGUGUAUCUCACUCUAGUCAAGUUCAUUUAGUUAAUAUUACUAACUUUUAGUUGUAAGACCUUUUUGCUAUUGUAACGGACUUUGUUUUUGGAUUUUGAUUUUAAUACAUUUGCUUGGCCCAGUGGUAGUGAUUAUUUGCUUGUUUAGCGGCUAUUAGGUCCUGUUUGAUAUUUACAUCACCCACUACCACUGUUAUUCAGUUUUUGCUGUUAUAUGUUAAUUGUUUAUAGAUAUAUAACAUAUUUAUUAUAAAUAUAUUUAUUAUUAGUAA